rnacentral:rRNA from 1 species
UACGUAGGGGGCUAGCGUUGUUCGGAAUUACUGGGCGUAAAGCGCACGUAGGCGGAUAUUUAAGUCAGGGGUGAAAUCCCAGAGCUCAACUCUGGAACUGCCUUUGAUACUGGGUAUCUAGAGUAUGGAAGAGGUGAGUGGAAUUCCGAGUGUAGAGGUGAAAUUCGUAGAUAUUCGGAGGAACACCAGUGGCGAAGGCGGCUCACUGGUCCAUUACUGACGCUGAGGUGCGAAAGCGUGGGGAGCAAACAGG